rnacentral:RNase_P_RNA from 1 species
CGCCGCCGGUUCGUCCGGGGGAGGAAAGUCCGGGCAACGCAGAGCGCCACGCAAGCCAAUCACUUGAUAUCCGUGAGGGUAUAGGAGCGUAACAGAGAAUAACCGCCCCGCAUCCCGGGUUCGCCCGGAGCGGUGGUAAGGGUGAAAAGGCGGGGUAAGAGCCCACCGCAGAGGCAGCGAUGUCAUCUGGCCGUACGUCUCGUGGGUUGCAAGACCAUGUAUACCGGCAAUUAAGGGUUGCUCGCCCGAUGCCGGGGGGUAGGUUGCUUGAGACGGCAGGAGACUGCCGCCCUAGAUAAAUGACAGAGACCCGGAGGCAACUCCGGGGACAGAACCCGGCUUACAGGA